UUAAGACCAAUUCUCUGUAAGAACCAAAAAAAGUUGGAAACUCAUAGUCACAGAUUUCCUUUAAACCGAUUUUUUCUUGAAGAGGGUGCAAAAUUAAGAAAAUCCUGUUUUUCAUUUUUUCAAUAUAUGUCCCGGUUACCAUGGAAACGAGGAUGCAAAUCCCCAACUUGCUUAAUUUUCAAAAAAAUAGGGGUGCAUGCCUAUUUUGUCAUCUGGAAAGUACUAGAAAGUGUCUUUUAUUUUAGUACUUGCAAAUUUUAAAGGCAAAUGAACAAAGUUUCAUACCAAACUAAUAUUUCCAAAUAUUUAUUUGAUUCUUGUAUGAUCUAGACUUUUAUCUGCAAGAAAAAAUAUAUUUAUGGAGCAAAACAUAUGUUUAUAUUGUGCUCUACAUCUUGAAAAGUGCACAGGUCUCAGCAGAAAAGUAUAUUUGUUUGUAUAAAGGGAAGAUGAUAUUUCAAAAAGAAACAUAAAUCGUAGUGGGUCAUUCAGACACAUUCUUGUAGAUUUGGGCCAAAGUUUAUGAUUUGGGGCAUUUUUUCCUAUUUUUAUUACCUCCCCUUGAUGCUCUUCAUUUAGGAAACCACAAAGAGCUUAUCUAAGUUUACUUCCUGGAUUAUGCUGAAUUCAGAUUUCUGUUUGGAUUUUGCAAAUUUUUAGUAUAUAGAUACAAUGACAGUCAGAGAUUUUAUGCUAAAUGGGCAUGUGAUGCUUGGAUAUGUCCCUUCAAACCAAGUCCACGUUUAAAAUUUGCUGAAUAGCGACAUUGUUUGGGAAAAAUACUCUGACAGAAAAGAGUCUAAACUGUGGAUAGACAUCCAAGUCUGUCAUCUGUCUGUUUAUCUCCAUAAGUGAAGUUUGUAUCAACUGACAGAAGGACCAGUGUUAAAGGAUAACACUACAAUACAGCUGUGAGUUGUUUCUUUUGAAAAUGACUGCUUGAUGAUAAAGUUCCAAACAACUAUGAAGUGAGUGGAUGUUCUAGAGAGACUAAUUCUUCAAAGAAUGAAUGAUCAUCAUCAUCCUUAUAUUGGAAUACAAGGAAGGAAGUGACAGCUACAUGGUAAAAGUAAAUGCAGUCAGAAGACCUCUGAUAUCACCUGAAGAGCCAGCCUUCUCAAGAUUCUGUAUCAAAUAAAAAUGUGCAGUCUGUGACAUAACUGUCUGAUCCAGGUAGUUUAGUGUUGACAAGAUGACAUUUCAUCUCUAUAGUAGAGGACACAAGUUUGAAAUGCAGUAUGUCAUUGUGAAGGCAAAAUGUUAAUGAAAAUAGUGUGUGUGUUUUCCAAAUAGAGAGGCUGAAAGUGGGGAAUCAUCAAUUAGUGUUUUUGAAAUAAGUUAUGGACAUCUGAAUAGUGAAGAUCUGUCCAUUUUUUGGAUUGCCACAGACCAAAAUAAUGAUUGGUGCCUUUGACACAAAUAGAAGAACUCACACUGGACACCCUGAAGAUGGACUCAUGUUGUUUGCAUUAAUGUUUCUUUUUCAGAUUUAUGGAAAAGAAUUAGAAUGUCAUUUCCUAAAAAUGUUGAUAGUUGUUUAACCAAAGGCCCUGUAAUUGAAAAAAAUCUUUAUUCUUGACUUUACAUUAAAAUUAAAAAAAUCUGAUAUUGUUUGAUUACUUUUGCAUGUAUAACAUUAAAUUUGUUAUAUUUAAAUUUGAUAAAAUUUAAUGUAUUUUGAAAAAGAUGCACUUGAACAUAUCUAAAUGGAAUAAACGCAUGACAGUAUUUGAAUAUUUGUAAAAAAAAGCACAUGUUUUGCAGUUCUCAUCAGAUUUGGAUACCAAUUUUCAGCAUAAUAAUACAUGAAGGCUUAUUACUCAAACAUAUGCAAAUCUAAUUGUUUAUUUUCUACCAUAGAUAAUUUUAUUUCAUAUAGAUUUUUUAAAUCUUUAAAAAAUACUGAGAAAGUAUAGCAAAACAAUGAUUGAAUUAGUAUACUUGAUUUUGUGAGACUGUUGAAAUAUUACAAUUCUUUUUCCCUCUUAGGCCUGUAUCAUAAAAUCAUAUUUUCUGAUGAAAUUUAUUUUUUAAGAACGCCUGCAAUGCAGAUUUUGAUGAAAAUUCAUACAUUUGUAAAGUUACCUAUAUUGUAUUAGGUAAAUAAUUAAGCCCAUAUAUACUAAUUGGCCAAUGAUUAAAGAGAACAUCUGAGUUUCUAGCUGACUUUCUGACUAAUUUAAGACCUCAUUCAUGUAACAACAUCUAUUUAUCUUCAGAAAUCCAAUAAAAUUGUCAUCUGUAAAACAGGUUUCAUUCUAAGAUAUACAAGGCAUAUAUCAUCCUAUUUUACCAUCAUGUAUUUACUUUAAUAAAUAAAGUAGAUUUAGUUGUGUAUUUUGAUAUAUUUUGGAAAAAGCAUUAGGAGAUAUGUCUGCAACUGCAGUUUGUAUUAACUGAGUAUUUACUGGCCCUGGAAUGUGCAUGAUCAGGGGUUUUCUGAAUAAACUUAGUAAAGUCUUAAAUCUACAUUAUCUAUAGCUAUCCGUAAAAAGUCUGGCCAUUGUCUUGAUAGUUUGAAAGAAUUAAAUACAUUUGAGCCGCGCCAUGAGAAAACCAAAAUAGUGGCUUUGCGACCAGCAUAGAUCCAGAGCAGCCCGCGCAGUCUGGUCAGGAUCCAUCCUGUUCGCUUUCAAAGCAUAUUACAAUUAGAGAAACUGAUGCACAGGCUGGUAUGGAUCCAUGCUGGUCGCAAACGCACUAUGUUGGUUUUCUCAUGGCGUGGCUCAUUUAAAGUUGUAUCUAGCAAAAUAUUGACUAAACUGUUCUGUAGAUCAUUUGAUUUAAUUUGAUUGUUAAAUAAAGAAUGUGCAUCAUGAUUGUUGUUACAUGAACAUACUGUAUAUUUUUAAAUAUCAUAUUUUUCAGUCUUGGAUUAUACACUGUUAUUUGUUCAUAAUUUUGAAUUGUAUUUAAAAUGUAUAUAUUAAAUCAAAUGGCGAAGUAGACAUGAUAUUGCUUUUACUGCUAUUUGUUUCCAUGGCAACAAAAUGAUUUCCAAAGGUGAAAGGACACUGUCUUUACACAAACACACAUAGAUAUUUUUGUUAUUUUAUCCAAAAAUGUCAUUUAAUAUUAAUGGCUUUAUAGUAACUGCAGCAAAAGAAUAACUAUGAGUUAAAGUUCUUUUUUAAUGCAAAAUGAAUGUUGUAACCAUGGCAACUUGAAAAAAAUAUUGGACAAUCAUGAUAAGUAAUACCUUAAAGACCAGUAUCAGUUGGUUAUGAGUAUUUCCAACUGCUUUGAAACUCAAAAUUAGUUUACCCAAAAGAAAGAAAAGUGCAUACAAGGUUGUUGAGAACUGAUCUUGUGACAAUGCUUUAAGUUUCAAAGAUCAUUAUUAUGGUUGUAUCCUUCUUAAUUCUGCCCAGAAUGUGCUUCAGGUGCGUUAGAUGCAUUGACAGUUUGCAGAUGAACUUUUCUUGUUUCAUAGAAUACAAAAUUGAUACAGAAAGUGCUUUAAAAAGGUCUGAAUUAUAAUUUUCUUGUACGUAGCCAUGGUAACGGAACAUUCUCCUUAAUUUCUAGACAAAGUGUUGGACAGUAUAACUUUGUAAGAUGAUUUUACAUGAAAAACUUAUGUUUUGCUAUAAUUCUGUAUCUCUCAAUGUAUUAUUAUUUCAGGUUAUUCUGUAAUUUAGGCAUAAAUGAGUUUGCUGAAAACUCAUUUUUUGUCAAUUUACAAAAUUCUGUAUAAAGCUCAAAUAUGAAUGACCCACUAAAAUUCCUCCUUAAAUUGAAAUGGGUAUCAUAGCUCUGCUGAAUCCAUACAAGUAUUAUAUUCAGAUGCGUGCACUUUUUUUUCUAUUAGAAGUUAAAAAAUAUACAUGCAGACCAAUUUUUAAAGAUAAUGUAAAAUCUUAAAAGGGGGUAUUUAUAAAAUUGUUGCUUCUAAAACUGUGAAAAUGUUGAAAGGCAAUAUUUGCUUUAAAUAAUCACUUCAGGUAUGUAUUUCAGGCAAAUAUGAAAAUUAGUGCUUUAUUUCAGACAUAGAGCCCACUAUGUGUGAAGAAAAUUGUAACAUUUUAGUAAAAUUUGACUCUCAGAAAUUGCCAUUUUUCGCAAAAAGUAUAAUGUACCCGUUUCCAUGGUAACCAGAGCUGAUUCAUAUCUUUUCGCCCUUGAUUCUUCAUAUAUGGCUUGAAUACUAAAAAGGGUACAAAUAUGAAGUAAUUCUGAGACUAUGAGUUUCCGACCCCUUCUUUAAUUUUUUGGUUCUUACAGAGAAUUGGUCU